rnacentral:rRNA from 1 species
AGAGCGAACGCUGGCGGCAGGCCUAAUACAUGCAAGUCGAACGGACCCUUCGGGGUUAGUGGCGGACGGGUGAGUAACACGUGGGAACGUGCCCUUUGGUUCGGAACAACUCAGGGAAACUUGAGCUAAUACCGAAUGUGCCCCCAUCCUUAAACAAGAUGGGUGGGAAAGAUUUAUCGCCAUUGGAGCGGCCCGCGUCUGAUUAGCUAGUUGGUGGGGUAAAGGCUCACCAAGGCGACGAUCAGUAGCUGGUCUGAGAGGAUGAUCAGCCACACUGGGACUGAGACACGGCCCAGACUCCUACGGGAGGCAGCAGUAGGGAAUCUUGCGCAAUGGGCAAAGCCUGACGCAGCCAUGCCGCGUGAAUGAUGAAGGUCUUAGGAUUGUAAAAUUCUUUCAGCGGGGACGAUAAUGACGGUACCGCAGAAGAAGCCCGGCUAACUUCGCGCCAGCAGCCGC